GGUCACCUCCCAUAACUGCCCCCACCAACACUUUCUGUUGUCUUUAGCUGGAGAUGGUAUUUAAGGUGGUGACUUGGGCCAUUUCGGGGAGUCACUCAGUUUUCCUAGGUAUCUCCCAUGUAUACAGGAGGUAUACAUGUUAUUAAACUCCUGUUUUUCUCCUGUUAACGUGUCUUUGAUGACCAGGGGGUGGGGGUCUCAGUUAAGAACCUAGAAGGGUAAAGGGAAAAAUUAUUUUUCCUCCCCUACAGUUUCGUAACCUACCAUGGGACCUGCUAAGACAUCAUACUUGCUCAGGAACCUGCAGAUGGAAUCCUACAAAACUUGCAGAAGCCUGCGAAGGGUAAGAACUCUUACCAAAGUCCGUUCUCCUGGACCCUCACUCUAGUGCCAGGACAAGAGAAGAAGAUCUUUGAUUACUUAAGAAAACUGAGUCUUCUAAAGAUAAAAAAAGGUAAGUUUUGCUUGUAACUAUGUAACCUUUUGUAUUUGCCUUUGAAAUCUUUUAUUGUCACUCUGGUUACAUCAAUAAUUAAGUAUUGUUUCAUAAUGAUCUAUGAUCCUAUUUAGUCAAGUGUCUAAAACCUUUUGAUAUUUUUGACAAACUUUCCAAAAUCAAAUUCUAAAUGAAGUCUUUUUGAUCUCAAACUAACUUUGGGCUUUUCCAGAGGGCCCCUGGAACAUCUCAAAAGAUUUGUUCUCUCUCCUUAUAAAAAAAGAGAUAUUAAACUAAUUAGGCUUAUUUGAUAUAUUAAAUUACAUGGGAAGCCUUGUCAAAUAAGAAUACUAAACCUUCUUUAGAUUAUAUUUGUAUGGAUAUAUGUUAUUAAUAUAAGUGUUCCAGAAAUUAUAUAAAAUUCCUAGAAAUCUGCUAUGUCCUGGUAUAAUGUUAUCACUUGUAAUUCUAGUUAUUAUCUUAAACUGUUCUAUGUCACAGAAAUAACCAAAUUUCCUUGUCAAUAGCAUUAUAAUGAACUCUCAUCAGAUCUUUAACCAUGGCCAUUUUUAAGUCUUUUUGUCAUUUACAGAAGUUAUUGUUUCACUCAUGCUUUUACAAAUGUGUCUCUCUCUUCAGAGAGAUUCAUGGAAAGGGCUCUGACAAGUAUUCUAGAAUACAGGGUUCUGAUAACUUAAAGAUCAUAAAACUGAACUGGUUAAGAAUUUCCAGAACUAAUGGAAAAACUGGAUUCAAGCAGAAUAAAAAUAACAUGGGAUGGAAUGAACUGAUUAUAACCUUUAUGACUUUUUGUUUGAAACAAUGCUGCUUCUUUAAUGUUUUGUUUUUCACAAUUUAAGGAACACUUUUUCUCUUUUCUCUUAAGCUACCUAUGAUUUACCACAAUUUGGUAAAUUAUACCUUUGUAAGCAGAAUUGAAAUAAUUUUUCUCCCUACCUCAUCUCUCCAGAAUUCAAAAACUCUUAGUGAGUAUUCUUAUUUUCAUGGCAAUAUAGUUAUCUGCAUAAGUUCAAUAAGAAUCUGUUCUCCUUGUAACAGGACACAAUUGGAAACAUGGAUAUAUUACCAAGGCUUUGACUGGAAUGUCAUACUUGAGAAAAUGAUAGGCAUAAAAUCAGAUAUGACCAGACAGCUUUAAGGAACUAAGGUUGACUUUAUGGAGCCCAUAAAGCCUCUUGGAAAAAACUGACCUGGUACCUUGCUUACAGGGUUCUGGAGAGCCUUACCAGGUGAGUAAUGAAAGUCACUUCCUGGCAGGCUCAGGAUAUUUUGGGGACCUCAAGAAGAGAGGAAUACACCUAAAACUGUAUAAUAACCUUACCCUUGUUUACUGUACUUUUCCUGAUAGCCGCCUAUAACUGGCUCCCCCCACCAGCAUCUUUCUUUUGUCUUUAGCUGGAGUUGGUAUUUAAGGUGGUGGCUUGGGCCAUUUUAGGGAGUUUUACUCAGUUUUCCUGGGUAUCUCCCAUGUAUACAGGAGGUAUACAUGUUUGAACUUAUGUUUGUUCUUCUCUUGUUAAUCUGUCUUUGAUUACUAGGGGGGUGGGGGUCUCAGCCAAGAACCUAGAAGGGUAGAGGUAAAAUUAUUUUUCCUUCCCUACAUCUUCCAGCUUAUUAAUGCAUGUAUAAAUAACACAAGCAAUUACAGAUACUGCUCAAUAACCUAUGGAAAGUUUUUUAUAUGGCAUUCAUAGAAUUCAUCUGAUCUUAUGAUUUGAAGGAAACCACUCUUUCUAGAUGGGAGGCAGUGCUUUACUUGGGCUUUCAGUACCAAACCACCAAGUCUCCCUCUUUCUGUGAGAAAAGUGAUUCCCUCUUGACAGUUUAUAUAAAAAAAAGAACAAAGCAACUUAUACAUAACCAAACCAAAAAACUCCAUAAUUUGAUGGACUGUUUCAUAAGAACUUCAAAUUAAUCUCUGAUAUCUUUUAUACCAGUCUUCCUGAACCUUUCAAUAUGUUUCCAUAGCCAUGCCUUUGACAAAAAUAAACUCUUGAUAAAAAGUUGAACCUCCUGUAAUAUAACUUGAAAACUUAAGUAUCUAGCUACUCCAUCUAAAAACAAGUCAAAUCCAUCAUGAACCUUACCUGUGUCUGUGUUCCCUCCUCCCUCCUAAGGCUGAUCCCUACCUUGGCUUCAGGUCCUGUCCCUUCCAGCUUUCUCAGGAAUUUCGCUGUCAAUGAUUUAUCUUGUAUGGUUGGCCUCUCCUUCUCAGAUGGCCCUUGCUAUGGUUUUAAAUAAUGCUCAAAUAUCUCCCAUUAAAAAAACCCAAACAAAACAACCCUUUCAUCAACACCACAUUCUCCCUUCCAAAUAUGACCCCUGGUCCCUCCCCAACAAGCUAAACCUCCACAACAGUCUUACUACCUCCAUUUCUUUGGCAUCUGGCUCCUCUCUCAUAUGUGGCUCUUGCUGCCUGAAAGUGCUCCCCAUGUGGUCAUCGAUUGAUGACCUACAUGAUGUAUGUCACCAGCAAUGGCCACUGCUCACACCUCAUCUUUCUGGACUAGCAUGGCAGCACCUGGUACGUCUGGUCAUUUCCUUCUUUGUGAAACAUGUUCUUCCCUGGGCUUCCAUAAUGCACCUCUCCUACUGGUUUCCCUUCUGACUCCCUGCUGAACUGUCUUCCUCUGGCCACUAAACGUUCCUUUUGGCUAGGUCUAACAUUUACUCUCUUGCUGGGAUGAAAUAAAGCUUGUCUCCCCAGGCCCACUCUUGUUCUCCUUCCCUCUGUAAAGAAUCCCAUAAAUGGUAAUCUCAUCAAAGGCAAAUCAGAUCAGGUUGACACUCUCCCACUGGUUUUAUGAUGGUGAUCAAGCUUCUCCCCUGGCCCCUGUCUGCCUCUCCAACUUUUUCUUACCAUGGAUCCUCUCAUAUUCUGUGUUCCAGCCAUAUCUGUAUUCUUUCAACUCCUUUUCUGAAGAUUUAACUCAGCUGUGACCAUUACUAGGUUUCCCAGCUUCUCAUCUAAAAAGUAAAAAAAAAAUCUACCUCCUAGGGUUGUUUCAAUGACUAAAUGAAUAAAUAAGAGUAAAGCGCUCAGAACUAUGCUGGCACAUAGUAACCUCUAUUUAAGUGUUAACUCAAUAUUACUCUUUCACCUGUGUCUGCCCAUAGUCUAUUUUCCACAUAGUUCCUACAAUAAUCCUUUAAAAAAAUAAGCCAGAUCACCUCAUGGCUUGGCUCAGCACCAACUAAUGGUUUCUCCUCUCAAAAUCAGAAGUCCUCACCAUGGCAAUGAUUUGGCUCCCUACUAUCUCUUUGACUUCAUCUCCCACAACGUCCCCCCUUACCAGAUUCAAGCUACACUGACCUCCUUGCUGGUCCUCACACAGGCCAAGCACACUCCUUUUUCCAUUUGUGUUUCCCUCUAUCUGGAAAGCUCUUUUUCCAGUUAUCUAUGCGGCUUAUUCUCUCAUUUCCUUCAAGUCCUACUCAAAUGUCAGAGUGGCCAUCCUUAACUACUUUCAAUUGAGAUUUCUCAAUCUUGGCACUACUGACAUUUUGGGCUAGAUCAUUCUUUGUCAUGGGGGGUUGUGCUGUGCAUUUUGGGAUGUUUAGUAGCAUCUCUAGCCUCUACCCACUAGAAGCCCAUAGCGCACCCUAUCACCCAGUUGUGACAACCAAAAAUGUCUCCAAACAUUGACAAGUGUCCCCUGGGGGACAAAACUGGGCACACUCCAAAAUAAAACCGCAACACAGCCUUCUUCUCUAUUCUCCUUUUCAUAGGCAUACAUGUCACAGGUUUUUCCCCUCUUAAACAGGAUAACGUCAUACACAUUUUUCUGAGUAGGUUUUUUUCCCCUAAUAAUAUAUCAUAGAUGUCUUUCCAUAUCAGAACAGACUUAUCUCACUCUUUUGAAUGGCUGCAGAGUACCCCUUAGUGUGGAUAUACUCAAAUGUAUCUCACUAUUGCUUUAUUGGUGAUCAUUUAGGUUCUUUCUUUUCCAUUUUUCAUUAGUACAAAUGAUGCUGCAACAAACAUAUGCUAGUACAUAAGGUGAGCAUUCCUAUAAAGGGAAUUGCUGUGACAGAGAAAGCUGUGUUUGUAUCUGACACAACCAGAUUCUUGCACUGGCCUGCAAGCAAGUCUCUGUUAUUAGCAACCUCCUUGAGAAACUCCAAGUCUCAUUCACCUGGGCACCCUAGAACCUUGCAGAGCUUGAGGGCCACACUAGAAGCCUAAAUGUCUGCCAAAUGCAAGAAGGAAGGGAUGCCUGCCUAGCCCAUGUAGGCACACUUCUCUGUCUGAUUCUUCCCAUCACAUUUGAGAGCCUGUGAGUAAAAAGCAUACCUAUGUUCCAUCACUUUACUUCUGGGAACUUCUUUCCAGAACUGAGUCAAUUCCGCCGGGCCCGUGCCAGAUGACUGUUCCAUUUCUGCAGCCAUUAUCAGAAAACGGUCCUGGGCAGAGACUGUUAAACCUGCAUUCCAAAAGGGUAACUUAUUAUAUAAACAGGAACCUUUAAAAAGGGUUGGAUAUGUGGUUUAAGGCAUUAUUCUAGAAAACAACAUUAUGGAAAAAGAAUAAUACGGAACUACCUUUAAAAAAAAAAGUUCUUCUAAAAAUGAGGACUUUCUUGGAAAUUCAAUUUUACUUGUUAAAAAACAAUUAAAAAUUUUUAAUGUGGAAAGGGCAAUGUUAAUGAGACCCAUUUGCCCAUCUCAUUUUACACGUGAGGAAACAGAUGCCUUGAGUAGGGUGAGGUGAUUGCUGACACUGCUAAUUUCUAGAUUCUAGUCCAGCUCUGCUGACUCAUCACCCAACCCCAGGUUCCCCCACCCCUCAACACCCCACUGUGGCCAUCAGGUGACAACUCACCCCCGUGGGGAGACACAACUAUAUCAACUGAUGCACCAGGGUCACAACUGCUAUUGCUUGGCUUGACUCUGUAUUUUUCUGGAGCAGUUGUUCUCACCUGUUUAUAAAACACAGUAAUCACAUACUAACCUUUGCUUUUCAGGGGGAAAUAGCUUAAAAAUGACUUUAAAAAAUUAAUAAUAAACAAAGUCUGUAAAACAAUCUUGGUGGUUAAGCACAGAAUGUAUCUUUCCCCAUCAAUAGUGAAAAAAGCACCUCAACCGAUUUAAAAAAAUAUAUUCACUCAUAAGUCCAAUUGUCACUUAGCCUUCCUCUUAAUUUUUUUUUUUUGUGAGGAAGAUCAGCCCUGAGCUAACAUCCAUGCCAAUCCUCCUCUUUUUUGCUGAGGAAGACUGGCCCUGGGCUAACAUCCAUGCCCAUCUUCCUCUACUUUAUAUGGGACGCCACCACAGCAUGGCUUGACAAGUGGUGUGUUGGUGUGCGCCUGGGAUGUGAACCCUGGGCUGCUGCAGGGGAGUGCGCGCACUUAACCACUACGCCACGGGGCCGGCCCCUUAGCCUUCCUCUUAAAUAAAAAAAUUAAUCCAUCUGUUAAAUAUUUAUCCUGUCCGGUAAUCACCUGAAUUUAAUACAAAUUCAAAAAACUGAGUGCACAUUAGAACACGUGUUUCAACAGCAUUCAGAAAUUAAAAAACAGUCGAUAAUCAAAGGACAUCCAGAACAUCCUAGUGGUUAAAUUUAAAUUAAAUAGACAAUUUAAGGAAGUAAUACCUACAAUAUGGGGUGAUGGUGGACUCAGUCUUGUUACACUUAACGCUUAGUAUCUGGUUAGUAUCCAGUAUAAACCAUACUCCAGAAUAUACCAUACUUGGGGGAAAAUGCACUUUCUAUUUUAUAGUUUUAUUUUUCACUGUUAAGAUUUAAAUUAUUCAUAUAAUGGAGAGUGAUUUUCCUCGGGUUUUUAUUUACUAACAGACAUUAUGCCCUGGGAUUAAUUGGACAUUAGCCUAUUACUAUACAUUAAAGAUUGAGAUACAGAUCCCAGGAAAAAUUUUAGAUAAGCUAUGCCACGUGGUUAGAACUAGAGGGCAGAAUAACAUGCUUAAAAAUAUAAUAAAUAAAAACAUUGUACAAGUUCAAAAUUAUCAAUCUUUCAAUUAAAAUACAUGUAAAAUCCCUUUCCAUGUCAAAUUUUGACACAUAAUUUAUUAUAUAUUUCAGAUAUUUACCUUAAAUGCCACUAUGUUUUUAGUUACAUUUGUCAACACUAUCAAAGUUUUCUUCUCUCCAGAUUCUGUACUUCCAAAAUACAGUUCUUCCGCUGGGCUAGGUGUUGACAAAAGCAUAAGACAUUUGUAUUACUUAGAAUAAAUGACAAUUUAAUCAUUAGCUUGAAGAAAAGUAUUUGGUUAAUAUUUUAUGCUCAUUUGUAUGAAGAGAUUAUAUCAAAAAAAGAAAAGAUUACAAAACAAUUACCUAAUAUAUUUUGUAUUUUAAUCUUACUGAUUCAAUGCAUGCUUUUAAAAAAGUCGUAUGGUUUUCCCCAAGAUAAAAAGAAAAUAGGAAGGAACAGAAAGAGAGAAUUAGGAAGAUUCUUAAUUAGUCCUAUAGUAAUCAGCAUCAUCUUAAGGUACAUUUAUUUAAACUCUUUGGAAGGUUACAGAUAAUCAUCAAAACAAAGAAAGAACUGCUGCUUCAACUGUACCUAAUUACAAACAGAUUAGAAUGGGGCAUAUUUUUAUACACCAACAGAGAAAAGCAUAACUUAAAAAGAAAGAUCAUUAGGGAUGUAUUUAAGCAACAGAAUAAUUCCUUACUAUAAAGGCUUUUCCUAAGUAAUAUGGGAGGAGAAAAAUAAACACAGAAAUAAAAUUUGGGGUGGGAACUUCAGGAAGAAUUUGUCAAAUAGUAAAAUCAGUGAACUUCAAAAUACAAAUUUUACUAUUAUUGGCCAAUGUAAUGCCCAUGACCUAAAAUAAAAACUAAAAGACUCAAGCAAAGUUUGUGUAGUUUAAUUAUAUUAGCCAAAUUAUAUCAGGUGCCUCCAAACAACAGGAAGGACAGUGUUUUUGUUCUAGAUAAAAAGGUGAAUUCUUCAGAUAGCUCUUGACUUUGAGCUACAUCUUUAAAUAGAUUUCAUUUUAUAUCAGGAAUGCCUACAUAUCAGAAAUAUUUAUUCAUCUAGCGAACACACAUUUUUAAGGAAGCGCUCUCCCAGGAGGACUCUGUCCAGCUUUGGACAUCAAUUAGUAUGGUUGCUGGCUUCCUUUUAGAACCUGAUCUGAAAUGGGCCACAGAAAAGACAGGAAGGUUAUGGCUCUUAGAACUGCUCUAAGAUGUUGGAUGGGUCCCUGGGCCACGUGUAGGAAAAGGGCUUUGACCCUCCUGGGGGCAGAGGGGCGUGGGGACAGACGGCGUGUAGAGCCCAGAAGUGCAGGCCUAGAAGCCACCCUGUUCCACUACGGCUUUCUCCCUAGCUGGCUCUUCCAGCUAGACCUUGACCUUUAUAAGCCAGGACCUACGGUUUUGACAGGCCUCCAGUGAAAAAACAGUGUGUAACUUCCAAACCAGUAGAGGGAAAAGUGGGAAAAAAAUAAACAAAAAAACUCCAAAGGGGGAAAAUGGCAAUGGAAAACAGAACAUGCAUGCAUGUUUCCCUCCCUCCCCCAUCACACACUCAUACACACACAGAUGGUGGAGAUAAAUCCAAACAUAAGUAAUGAAAAUAUAUGUAAACAAACCAAUCUUGUCAAUUAAUAGAAAAUCUCAGGUUAGAUUUUUUAAAACUCUGGCCGAUUGUUCCUAAGAGUCAUACCUAAAACAGUUACAUGGAAAGGUUUCAAGUAAAGGGAUAGAAAAUGAUAUAUUAGGUCAUCACUAAAUAAAGUUGGUAUAGCAAUAUUAACAUAAAGCUAUAUAGAUUUACCAACCAAAAGCAUCAUUAGUGAGAAAGGUCUUUACAUAAUGAUACAAGAAAUAAUCCUGAAUCUUUUGGAUCGAAUAAUCUAAAAACAAAACUACAGAUGUGCUAAAAUUUGGCUUUGGUAAAAAAAAUCCAUUUUUCUGGUUCAGCUUUAGCUUUUGGAAGGUCAAAUAGAUAAAUGCCUACUUCAAUGUCGUUUCUGGCAUUCUCAAACUUGUGCAAGUCAAACAGUAUUAGUAAAAUGAGAAAAAUACAUGUCAUUCAGAUUUAUUGUUAAUAUAUGAAUACUCACUUUUAUUACCAGACGUGGGAUGAGGGCCCUUUAAACACACUCAAUGGAAUAAACAACACAAAGAUAGCUAAAAAUAUCCACUAUGUCUGGAAACCAAAGUGAGUCUCAGAUAACCCUUAAUUUUGUAUUUCCACAGUUUCAAAACAGUACAGAAGUCUUCUUAAUUUUGCAAUUCACUUAAGAUGAUCAAGAUAUGUUAUAAGAGCACAGCUAAUAAAAUCCUCAACUAUUACCUGAUGUGUAAUAAGGGCCCUUUAAACACACUCAAUGGUUUCUUGAAAGCUUUCAUUUUGGAAUCAACUUUUUCAUGUUCUUCCGCUUUGGAAGUAGAUUCAGGUAGGUUAAUCUAAAGACAAAAAAAAAACAAAGAAAA